GAUGAACGCUGGCGGCGUGCCUAAUACAUGCAAGUCGAGCGAAUGGAUUAAGAGCUUGCUCUUAUGAAGUUAGCGGCGGACGGGUGAGUAACACGUGGGUAACCUGCCCAUAAGACUGGGAUAACUCCGGGAAACCGGGGCUAAUACCGGAUAACAUUUUGAACCGCAUGGUUUGAAAUUGAAAGGCGGCUUCGGCUGUCACUUCUGGAUGGACCCGCGUCGCAUUGGUUAGUUGGUGAGGUAACGGCUCACCAAGGCAACGAUGCGUAGCCGACCUGGGAGGGUGAUCGGCCACACUGGGACUGAGACACGGCCCAGACUCCUACGGGAGGCAGCAGUAGGGAAUCUUCCGCAAUGGACGAAAGUCUGACGGAGCAACGCCGCGUGAGUGAUGAAGGCUUUCGGGUCGUAAAACUCUGUUGUUAGGGAAGAACAAGUGCUAGUUGAAUAAGCUGGCACCUUGACGGUACCUAACCAGAAAGCCACGGCUAACUACGUGCCAGCCGCCGCCGUAA
rnacentral:rRNA from 1 species